rnacentral:rRNA from 1 species
CAUAUCAAUAAGCGGAGGAAAAGAAACCAACAGGGAUUGCCCUAGUAACGGCGAGCGAAGCGGCAACAGCUCAAAUUUGAAAUCUGGCUACUUUGUAGUCCGAGUUGUAAUUUGUAGAGGAUGCUUUUGGUGAGGUGCCUUCCGAGUUCCCUGGAACGGGACGCCAGAGAGGGUGAGAGCCCCGUACGGUUGGAUACCAAACCUUUGUAUAGCUCCUUCAACGAGUCGAGUAGUUUGGGAAUGCUGCUCUAAAUGGGAGGUAUAUCUCUUCUAAAGCUAAAUAUAGGCUAGAGACCGAUAGCGCACAAGUAGAGUGAUCGAAAGAUGAAAAGCACUUUGAAAAGAGAGUUAAACAGCACGUGAAAUUGUUGAAAGGGAAGCGCCUAUGACCAGACUUGUUUCUUUCAGUUUUGUUAGUUCUCGGACUGAUUUACUCUGUUAGUACAGGCCAGCAUCAGUUUGUUGUCGGGGAGAAAGGCUUAGGGAAUGUGGCUCCUUCGGGAGUGUUAUAGCCCUUUGCAUAAUACCCUUCGGCAGACUGAGGACCGCGCUUCGGCAAGGAUGCUGGCGUAAUGGUCAUCAGCGACCCGUCUUGAAACACGGACCAAGGAGUCAACCUUAUGUGCGAGUGUUUGGGUGUAAAACCCCAGCGCGUAAUGAACGUGAACGUAGGUGAGAGCUUCGGCGCAUCAUCGACCGAUUCUGAUGUUCUCGGAUGGAUUUGAGUAAGAGCACACAGGGUUGGACCCGAAAGAAGGUGAACUAUGCUUGUAUAGGGUGAAGCCAGAGGAAACUCUGGUGGAGGCUCGCAGCGGUUCUGACGUGCAAAUCGAUCGUCAAAUAUGAGCAUGGGGGCGAAAGACUAAUCGAACCUUCUAGUAGCUGGU